UUCACAUGUUCACAGUUGUCAAAUUCCGUAAUUGACAAUGCAUUGUCUGGUGCAUUGUAAUAAAAAAACAUAAAAACAUUAAAGACGAUCGUUUUAUUGAUAAAAUUACAGGCUUUGUGAAGUGUUGAAAAUAUCGAUCGCUUCGAAAUGAUUCCAAAUGAGAUAUUUGCCGAAGACUUGAUGAAUACGGUGAUUCGCUACGGUUUGUACAUCGGCGCUGCGUUUCAACUGUUUUGUCUGCUUGCCUGUGUUACAUUGACGGAUGAGCAAAGCGAAACUCAUCCAUAUGAAAAGUCCUACACUGACAGUGAUGAAUGCAGCUCGGAACAGUCAUCACCAGGGCACAGGGCGACCAUGUCUCGUGCCCGACGGCAUGAUAAGAAGAAACGACGUUAGAUCAAACACAUGAGUGUAAACAUUGUUAACCUUAUGGACUAAUUCAAUAUGUCCCCAUCUUCAAUUUACCCUCAAAACUGAGUUUGAUGUCUAUGAUGUAUCUUUGACUAUGGAUCUCUUAUUAUUUAUUCCAUGAUAUAAAAUCUUAUAUACAUUUAACUCCAAGGCAUUUUGAAGCCAUAAUUGUCUAAAAACGUGAAUGUGUUGCGCAUUUGGCAUAUUUGUAUUUAUAGGGUUUUGUAACCUUUAUUUUGUAUUUGGUUGGUCAAGGUUUCUUGUUAAGUAUUAUAAUACUAAUAAUACCAGCCCUAUAGUUUGUACUAUACACUGUCCCACUGCUGUGCACAAGACUUGUCUAAUACCAAGAGGGUCUAGACCUUAGUCCACCAACCAUGCUGGCCUCCUAAUGUAGGCUGGGAAACUUCACAUACCUUUGACAUUCUAAUGUAAAAUUCUCAGGUAUGUUACAUUAAUUGGUAAACAUAUUUGAAUAUUGUUUUUAUUUAAGUUCUGAUUUAAGCAUAUCUAUAUUUGCUAAUUGAAUGUAGAUACGUAAAAAGGAUCCAGCCCACAAAAUGACGCUUUGAAAUAGUGCAGAUUGAAGUUUAAAUCGUACUUUUGCUCAUUGAUAUUUCAUUUUAUAUUUCGGUAAUUGAAAGUUCAAAAUUUUUUUUUAAGAAUGGAAAAUAUAGACCUUAUAGACUAGAACUAAUUUGGCAUACUCGGCUCAUUUUCGACCAUGCUGUGGGUUAUAUCCUUUUUGCGUAUCUACAACCAAUUAUAUCUCUUACGCCUAAGUUGUAUAACCCACUGUUACAGUGAUAUUUCUAGUAAGUUUUAUAUAUUUAUAGCUAUAAUUGUGGCCGUUUAUUCCAAGGAUGUAAUAUUAUAAUAAAUAUAAUACUCAAAUAAAUGAAUCACUGUUCUCCCCAAUAUUUAUAGAUUUUUUUACAUUACUUCAUACCAAUGUUCUGUGUCAAAUUUACUGCAAAUAGGUUUGCAAUUGAUUAUACUAUGUAAUAUUUAAAUGUGUUGUAGUAAUAUUUUACACUGUAAAUUUCGUCACUAAAGAAAUAAACAAUUAUUUAAUA